rnacentral:rRNA from 1 species
UCGAGGAUCUUCGGCAAUGGGCGCAAGCCUGACCGAGCGACGCCGCGUGUGCGAUGAAGGCCUUCGGGUUGUAAAGCACUUUAGUGGGGGAGAAAAGCCGAAAGGUGUGAUCUAUCCCAAAAAUAAGCACGGGCUAAGUUCGUGCCAGCAGCCGCGGUAAGACGAACCGUGCGAACGUUAUUCGGAAUCACUGGGCUUAAAGGGAGCGUAGGCGGGCUAUCAAGUCUGGGGUGAAAUCCCACGGCUCAACCGUGGAACUGCCUCAGAUACUGACGGCCUCGAGGGAGAUAGGGGCAUGCGGAACUGUAGGUGGAGCGGUGAAAUGCGUUGAUAUCUACAGGAACUCCGGUGGCGAAAGCGGCGUGCUGGAUCUCUUCUGACGCUGAGGCUCGAAAGCUAGGGGAGCAAACGG